rnacentral:rRNA from 1 species
GAGCGGACAGAUGGGAGCUUGCUCCUGAUGUUAGCGGCGGACGGGUGAGUACACGUGGGUAACCUGCCUGUAAGACUGGGAUAACUCCGGGAAACCGGGGCUAAUACCGGAUGGUUGUUUGAACCGCAUGGUUCAAACAUAAAAGGUGGCUUCGGCUACCACUUACAGAUGGACCCGCGGCGCAUUAGCUAGUUGGUGAGGUAACGGCUCACCAAGGCAACGAUGCGUAGCCGACCUGAGAGGGUGAUCGGCCACACUGGGACUGAGACACGGCCCAGACUCCUACGGGAGGCAGCAGUAGGGAAUCUUCCGCAAUGGACGAAAGUCUGACGGAGCAACGCCGCGUGAGUGAUGAAGGUUUUCGGAUCGUAAAGCUCUGUUGUUAGGGAAGAACAAGUACCGUUCGAAUAGGGCGGUACCUUGACGGUACCUAACCAGAAAGCCACGGCUAACUACGUGCCAGCAGCCGCGGUAAUACGUAGGUGGCAAGCGUUGUCCGGAAUUAUUGGGCGUAAAGGGCUCGCAGGCGGUUUCUUAAGUCUGAUGUGAAAGCCCCCGGCUCAACCGGGGAGGGUCAUUGGAAACUGGGAACUUGAGUGCANAAGAGGAGAGUGGAAUUCCACGU